rnacentral:lncRNA from 1 species
GUGGCGCCGGCUCUGGCGCGGAGAGGCGCAGGCCCAGGCUCCACUCCCCAGCUGUGAAAGGGUUUUCUGCCUCCUGCUAAGCCAAUUUAUACAUUCCAAGAAAAUCUUCCAUUUCAUCCAGGUGAAACAGAACCUACUGGAAUGAAGCUGGCCUCCCAUGGAAUGAAGCUGGCCUCCCGUCUCCUUGAUUUGAAGCAGCUUCUCCACCUUCAACAUUGCUUUAUGGCAUGUGUGGUCGUUUUUCACUCCAUUGUUGUUGUUUACCCAGUUUAUGGGGGUUGUAAUGUUUAUCACACUCCUUGGAUGAUUUCCGAAGAUCACCCCAUCCUGAGAUCUGCUGCCUUACACAGUGGAGGCUGUUUUCUGAGUGUCGGAUAACUCUGUUAUUAAAUAAGUGCAUAUUGAGAAUACUCACUCCAGAUGCUUAGAGGCAUGUUGAGAAGGACAAAGAUAGUGCCUCCUGUCAGGUCACUUACAUCAGAACUUGCAGGAAACCUGCUUUAUACAGCAGUUGACAGGUGUGGAAAUUGAAGCUCAUGGAAAUGAAAGUUAAUACGCUAAAUUUUCAAGGAGUUAAUGAAAACUGACAUUUCUGCUAAAAACAGCAUGUUCUCCCUGUGGGAUUUUAAAGGAAGGUCAAUGGUAACUGUACAAAGAAGAAAUGGACACAGUCUCAUUGUUAGCAGUCUGAAAAUAGUUGCUAGCACCUCCAUGCCCACGCCAAUGUCUCCAGCCUCUUUCAGGCACCUUGCUGUGUCUUGGAACCACUGGGAGCCCUCACAGGAGGCCCUUCGUUCCUGUAUGCAUGUGGUGCCACAAGCUGCUUUGGGCCCGGAGGAAUCCUACACAUCUCAGAACACUUCCUCACCUGACCCUGUCACCCAUCUCUCCCCUUCUCAUGUGCUCAGCCCCUUCUUUGACUCUUGAAUUUUGAGUUUUUACAGAUGUUUGGGAGCUCUUACCCUGACAUGAAUUUACAAUUGUAAUGGAGACUCAGACAACGUUGUAGAUCACAGAGUGAACUAUGCUUUUUAGUGUUAAAUGCAAUAGCUUAAGAUAGAAUGUUUUACUUGUUACAUAAAUGCUGGUUUUCUUUCAGAUUUAAGGAUAUAUACUUUUUUUUUUUAAGAGAUAGGGUCUUCUAUGUUGCCCAGGCUGGCUUUGAACUCCUGGGAUCAAGUGAUCCUCCUGCCUCAGCCUUCAAAGUAGUUGGGACUACAGGCCCACGCCACCGUGCAUGGCUGGACACGUAAAUUUGAAGUGAAUGGUUAAACAUCCAGCUAGCUGAAAGCAUGACAGACCCUAACAGAAAAGCUACAGUGUGUUUUUGCAGCUAUGAAGUGAAUGGUUUCCUGGGGAAAAUUGUGACUUUGUAUAACUAUUUUUGAAACCAGAAUAAAUUAUAUUUCACUUGCAUAUUCUUAAAUUAUUAAAAUUUUCAGAAGUCAGUGAUACAGAAAUACUAUUUUGCAAUGUUAAUCUGUUUGAGUCUUUGGAGAAAGUGGUUUCAUUAUAGGUACAUGAUGCACUCUUAAUAUUUUAAACAAAUAGUUCACUCUUCCAUUUAAGGGAUAGCAGUUCCUUGUAUAAAAUGACUGGAUAUGUAUAAAGGAAUUACGUUGUCAUGUGCCUUUAACCAGCUUUAGUAAUUACUAUAAUCUCAUAUUUAUGAUCGUUUUGUUAGGUGACAGGACCAAAUGAAAAUAUUUUAUGUUUUCCCAUCACUUUAGAUUUUAUCAUUGUGUAAAUUACUGGGUUUUUAGCAUUUCCUAAUGUGAAGUUUUAAUCAUUUUUAAGUAUACAUAUUUUUUUCUGUACCAUUUAAAUAAAA